rnacentral:rRNA from 1 species
AUUGAACGCUGGCGGCAGGCCUAACACAUGCAAGUCGAACGAGUGGCGGACGGGUGAGUAAUUUCUGGGAAACUGCCUGAUGGAGGGGGAUCACUACUGGAAACGGUAGCUACUACCGCAUACCAUCAGAUGUGCCCAGAUGGGAUUGGCUAGUUGGUGGGGUAACGGCUCACCAAGGCGACGAUCCCUAGCUGGUCUGAGAGGAUGACCAGCCACACUGGACCUGAGGCACGGUCCAGACUCCUACGGGAGGCAGCAGUGGGGAAUAUUGCACAAUGGGCGCAAUCCUGAUGCAGCCAUGCCGGGUGUAUGAAGUGGGCCUUCGGGUUGUAAGGUACUUUCAGCGGGGAGGCGUUACCCGCAGAAGAAGCACCGGCUAACUCCGUGCCAGCAGCCGCGGUAAUAC